UACGUAGGGUGCGAGCGUUGUCCGGAAUUAUUGGGCGUAAAGAGCUCGUAGGUGGUUUGUCGCGUUGUUCGUGAAAAACUCACAGCUUAACUGUGGGCGUGCGGGCGAUACGGGGCAGACUUGAGUACUGCAGGGGGAGACUGGAAAUUCCUGGUGUAGCGGUGGAAUGCGCAGAUAUCAGGAGGAACACCGGUGGCGAAGGCGGGGUCUCUGGGGCAGUAACUACGUGAGGAGCGAAA
rnacentral:rRNA from 1 species